UACGUAGGGGGCAAGCGUUGUCCGGAUUCAUUGGGCGUAAAGCGCGCGUAGGCGGCCCGGUAAGUCCGUUGUGAAAGUCAAAGGCUCAACCUUUGAACGCCGAUGGAUACUGCCGGGCUAGAGUCCGGAAGAGGCGAGUGGAAUUCCUGGUGUAGCGGUGAAAUGCGCAGAUAUCAGGAGGAACACCGGUGGCGAAGGCGGGUCUCUGGGCCGUAACUGACGCUGAGGAGCGAAAGCAUGGGGAGCGAACAGG
rnacentral:rRNA from 1 species